rnacentral:rRNA from 1 species
UACGGGGGGGGCAAGCGUUGUUCGGAAUUACUGGGCGUAAAGGCUCGUAGGCGGCCAACUAAGUCAGACGUGAAAUCCCUCGGCUUAACCGGGGAACUGCGUCUGAUACUGGAUGGCUUGAGUUCGGGAGAGGGAUGCGGAAUUCCAGGUGUAGCGGUGAAAUGCGUAGAUAUCUGGAGGAACACCGGUGGCGAAGGCGGCAUCCUGGUCCGACACUGACGCUGAGGAGCGAAAGCCAGGGGAGCAAACGGG